AACGAACGCUGGCGGCAUGCCUAACACAUGCAAGUCGAACGAGACCUUCGGGUCUAGUGGCGCACGGGUGCGUAACGCGUGGGAACCUGCCCUUAGGUUCGGAAUAACUCCCCGAAAGGGGUGCUAAUACCGGAUAAUGUCUUCGGACCAAAGAUUUAUCGCCUUUGGAUGGGCCCGCGUUGGCUUAGCUAGUUGGUAGGGUAAAAGCCUACCAAGGCGACGAUCCAUAGCUGGUAUGAGAGGAAGGGCAGCCACACUGGGACUGAGACACGGCCCAGACUCCUACGGGAGGCAGCAGUGGGUAAUAUUGGACAAUGGGCGGAAGCCUGAUCCAGCAAUGCCGCGUGAGUGAUGAAGGCCUUAGGGUUGUAAAGCUCUUUUACCCGGGAUGAUAAUGACAGUACCGGGAGAAUAAGCUCCGGCUAACUCCGUG
rnacentral:rRNA from 1 species